GGUGAAGCCCAGCUUGCUGGGUGGAUCAGUGGCGAACGGGUGAGUAACACGUGAGCAACCUGCCCUCCACUUCGGGAUAAGCCUUGGAAACGGGGUCUAAUACCGGAUAUGAGCGCUCAUCGCAUGGUGGGUGUUGGAAAGUUUUUCGGUGGGGGAUGGGCUCGCGGCCUAUCAGCUUGUUGGUGGGGUGAUGGCCUACCAAGGCGUCGACGGGUAGCCGGCCUGAGAGGGCGACCGGCCACACUGGGACUGAGACACGGCCCAGACUCCUACGGGAGGCAGCAGUGGGGAAUAUUGCACAAUGGGCGCAAGCCUGAUGCAGCGACGCCGCGUGAGGGAUGACGGCCUUCGGGUUGUAAACCUCUUUCAGCAGGGAAGAAGCGCAAGUGACGGUACCUGCAGAAGAAGCGCCGGCUAACUACGUGCCAGCACC
rnacentral:rRNA from 1 species